rnacentral:lncRNA from 1 species
GCUAGUGAGUGUCCAAACCGGAGGAACGUGAUCCUAAGGGAGGGAAAAUUGUACUAUCUUGGGGAAAAAGUGGUGAUUGAAUCGACUAAGGUUGAUAGCGAGCCUCAAUAUGGAGAGCAUGACGACGUUGAAAUGCGAAGUGAGGAAGAUGGAGAAGUGGUUUGGCCGUGUGAUGGAGAUUAUGAAGUGUCUUAGUAAAAGAGGUGAGGUCGUGAAAUUGUGGGAAAAUUCCUCUCAAGAUGGAGAGGAUGAUACAAGUACGAUCAUGACCAUGGACACUUUUUGAGUAUUUUGAAGACCACCUAAAAGAGUGCACAAGUCCAAGUGUUAAAGAGGCCAAAACCAUCCUAAGGAGCACUCAAUGGGCGGCCAUUUUGAAAACUAGUCAUUAAAAGGUCUUUUAGUCUUUUGUCUCUAAUUUUUGUAAUGUAAUAUAAAUAGAACCUUGUAGGGUUUUAGUUCCUUAGUUUUUGAAUGUUAUUGAAAGAAACUCCUCUAUAGAGAGUGAGAGCAACCGUAACUAGGGUGAUGCUAGUGUGGAAUCACUAGUAUUGCAAAACUUGGUUAGAAACCUUGGUGCUUGAGGGGUUAAUGCCCUCGUGUCAUGGUAAGAGUGUAGGUGUUUAUCAUCGCAUGUUGUUUGUGUUUUGGUGUUUAAGAUACACCUUAGUGCUUAGAACGUGUAGUGAUUUAUGUCACACUAUCUUACUUUCUUGUACUCGUUUCCCCUUGUUUGUAGUAAAACCGUGUUUUGUUGUUCCUUGGUUGUUGUUGUCAUCUUGUUAAUCUAGUUUGUUAUUGGCUGAAGUUGGUGUUAAACACCCUUGUUCAUUCGUGUUGUUCUUGUUGUAGCUGCUGCCAAGACAAGCUCUAGCUUGGUCCUCGGUUUGUUCAUCUUUGUGGACUGUUUUUGUACCGUUGUGUGUUCUUGGGGUGUUUGGUAUCAAUCCAGGUAUGAGUAUUUAUAACAGAAACGCAACCCGUUGUACUACAAGUUUGGCACUAGAAGUGGAAAGGGGUAAACAACCCCAAAAAGGUAAUAAGAAUGAUUCAAUUCUCAAAAAAGAAAAAGUUAAUUUCCAUUUAUUUGAGACAGGCCGACCGGUGUUAUUUUGUGGUAAGGCAGUAACAGAGGUUUCCUACUAACUCGAACCAAAUCAAGUUUUGCCCCACAGGUAGAAAACAAUCAAUCCUUGCUCAUGGUUUGAGUGGAAGAUGGCGUAUGCUAAUUCAAAUCGGUGUAAAACAAUAUUUACACAAUCAGGCUAUUUAAAAGUCAACUAAAAAUGGCUUUCUACUAUACACAGGUUGUUAUAAUCUUAACAAGAGAGGUAACACCCAUCGCCAAUUAAAUUAUUGCGGAGGGGAAAACACGUUGACAACGACGUCUAAGGCAGCAGAAAGAAUUUAUCAACCAACCAUAUUUUGAAUACUGCCAUAGCAAACAUUGAAUAUGUGGCUACCUCCUUAAAUCUGAACAAAUGAACAAAGCUUGAAAGAAAAUGAAUACAAUUGUUAACCUAUCUACCAAGUUGUGAAUAUUACAGGGAUUUAACAAUGUAGUUGAUUUCUAUUCAAGCUUCUCAAAAGAAUACUGUCAACAUCUGGGCACCUGAGCUCAUUUAAAAAUUCAGCAACAAGAAUCUUCUGGAAUGUCUUAGGUAUAUAACCGUAGCACUGCAAGGCCAACAGCGGAGAUAGAGACAAGAGUACCUAUACAGUAUUUAAUCACUUCAUAUUUUGCAGCUUCAAUUUGCGCCCUCAAUGCAUGAAUUUCCUAUACAUGGACCAAGCAUCAGAAAUAGAGAAGAUACUCACAAGAUGCAUUGAGUUUAUAGAACGUUCACGCUCAAAAUACACGCAAAAGCCAACACUUACUCGAUCAAGCUUAUUUGUAAGAUUUGUAGUUUCUGCAUUUUGAUUGGCAAGCUCAUCACGGAUGCGUCUACACAAUUUAGAAUAACCGCAAUCAAUCAUCGGAGAGUUGAAAAAUGAACAACCUAAUCAUUCACUAACAUCUAAAGCUUUUCAAACCUUACCCUCUUUCAAGAUUUAAAUCCAACCGUUGGCCGGCAGUAAGCUUGUCAACCUCAUACCUGCAUGAACAAAUAAUAUUGGUUAAUCUGGCACUCAAAAGUAAGACUCAUUUUUCCUAUAAUUCAAUUGUACCUUAGUUCACUACGCAUUUUUUCUAUGUCAUUCCGAAGUUUUUCAGUUUCACGUUGCAGCAGUGAAAAAUGAUGUUCCUGCAACAAAAAUUGUUUAAUUGGUAUGAAUUCCAUAUGUCAAACUCAAACCAACGCCGUUCAGGGGUAGAACAAAAACAUAUAUUAGUACAACCAUAAUGCAAUAAUCAUCAGGCCAACAUACUGAGUUUGAAGUAAAUUUUCCUCCUUAAGCACACAAUGUUAACGAAAUUUCGGUAAGGGUUAGAUCCCUGCAAGAGUGAAUCUGAAUUGACAUCUGUUCUCCCAUCUGUCUUAUACUGCGUUGAACACAAUAUUGUCAUAUAGGCAAGGCUGAAAUUUCGCCCAAGCAAUUAUAAUUACCAUAUAUGCCAUCAGUAACACUUAUCUCACUUUCAAAAAGUUUCGGAGUAUUGUUUAAAAGAAAAAGAAAAUUAGUCUUGUGCUGAUGAUUUCCAACAUCCUGAAUUAGUCAAAGAAAUAAGCUGAUUGCUCCUAAAAGAUGCUUCCUGGUAAAUGAACCAAAACAAACUAUUGAAAUAUCUUUGAAAAGGUUGUCUCAAAGCAGGCAAUCAAUUUGACUCGCUGACACAAAUCAAAAUUCUAAAUACUUAUGUCAUUCUUCUUUUACUUCAUUUUCUGGACCAUUUUGAACUUUUUUCUCUUGAACCGAGGGUCUAUCGGAAACAGCCUCUCUACCCGAGGUAGAGAUAAGGUUUGCGUACAUCCUACCCUCCCAGACACUACUUUGUGGGAUUAUACUAGGUAUGUUGUUGUUAUUAAUGUCAUUUUUAUCUGGGGUGACCAACUAGCUUUUUAGGCUGCAACUCCUCUUUUAAGGAAUAUGCAGCUAUCAGAGCUGAGCCAAAGCUCCCUUCACAACCAACUAGUUUUAAUUUUGGUUCUUGGUUGAUAAAGUAAUAAUUACAAGAAAGAUCCAGCUGACCUAACCCAUUCAUUUGAUCUAAAAAUUUUACUUCAUCCUUUUUUUCUAUUAGUAAUUGCUUCUUCAUACAACCGGGUUAGGAUCAUAUCAUGCCUUUAAAGUAAAGAAUAACCAUUGUAGAUCUGUAUUACAGUUCUACUUUUUUUUUCUUUUGGGAACAUAUGAGAGAUACGGUUAGAUACGAAGGGUAGGACAGGGACAUUGUGCUGGGAGAGUUGGAGCACUCCAAGAGACAGCAGGUUUUUGGGUAUUGUAGGUCUAUAAAGGUUGAUGAGCUCAGCGUGUUAUUCAUAAGAUGAGCUGGGGAAGAACGACAAGGCAAGACAAGAUUCUGAUGGACUUUGACGAACAUUGGCAUUGAAGACUUGGAUUGGCUGACUGGGUUGUUUAGUGCCAUUUUUAGGGUAGCAAAGAUGCCUGAAGAAUGGAGGUAGAGUACGAUGACUCCUUCGUACAAUAAGAACAAGGGUGAUAUUCAGAACUGCAACAACUAUAGGGUUAUCAAGUUGUUGAGUUAUACUAAUUGAAAUUGGAGAGGGUGGUAGAGAUGAGAGUGAGCAGGGGUGUCUCCAUUACCGAGAACCAUUUCGGAUUCCUACGGGGACGAUUUACCACAAAAGUCAUCCACCUUGUGAGGAGAUUGGUGGAGCAGUAUAGGAAGAGGGAUUUACAUAUAGUGUUUAUUGAUCUAGAAAAGGCAUACGACAGUUUCAACGGACGCUCUAUGGAAUGCUUGGAGGCUGCCUGUGGCGUACGGCCGUACACUAGGGUGAUUAAGGACAUGUACGAUGGAGCCAAGAUGGAGCCAAGACAAGGCAAGGCGAGACUCUGAAAACUUACAAAUCAUGAUAGGGUUGCACCAGGGGUUAGUUCUUAGUCCAUUUAAAAUCUUUCUGCAUUGGUUAUGGAUGAACUAACGCGUCAUAUCCAAGAUAAAGUUCCAUGAUGUAUGUUAUUCGUAGAUGACAUGGUAUUGGUUAAUGAGACUAGUAGUGGUGGCCACGCUAGGUUGGAAGUUGGGAGACAAACACUGCUAAGGGUUCAGGUUGAGGAGUCUUAUGUGAUAAGGCGCAAUGUUGACCUCUAAAGAACGCUCGUAUUUAGAAGGUGAAUGUCACAGAGAUGAGGAUGUUGUGGUGGAAGUUCGGACAUACUAGGAGAGACGAGAUUAAGGAUGAAAGAUAUUCUGGACAAGGAAGGAGUGGCCUCCGUGUUGGACAAGAUAAUUGGAAACGAGGUUGAGAUGGCAUGUGAUGAGAAGUGUAGAUUCCCCAUAAGGAGGUGUGAACGGUUGGCCUUGGCGAACAUCAAAAGAGGCAAAGGCAAGUCGAAGAAGUAUUGGGGACAAGUGAUUAGACAAAACAUGACACGUCUUGAUCUUACCGAGGAUGACCUUAGAUAGGAGCGUUUAGAGGUAGCGAAUUAAGAUAGAAGGCUAGUUAGCAGUUCAGCGUUCUCUCACUUCCCUGUGCGAGAGAUUUGGUAGCCAUACUUGGACCUUCCUCCUUACUAGUAGUAUUGGAACUAUUCUUGUACUUUCUUGAUCUUUGAUUUAGACUUUCGCUGGUGUUGUUUCGUGCGCCGUUAUUGCAUUAGCUCAUUUUCAUUACUAUUCUUAUUGUGUUACACUCCAUUUCACAUUUAUUUGUUGUUGUUAUGCUCCCAUAUUUGUAUGCCCUUAUUCCAAAUUGUUUGACAGACUUUAUCUAAGAUGAGAGUCUAUCAAAAACAACCUCUAUCUCUAUGAUGUAGGGGUAAGAUCCGCGUACAAUCUACCCUCCCCAGAUUCCACUUGUGGGAUUACACUGGGUAUGUUGUUGUUGUUUGAUUAGAUUAAAUCCGAGCAGACAAGGUGAUGAGGUACUCUAAAAUCCAAGUGAACACUAAGCCUUCUUCCUGAGCAAUGCAGCUUCUUAUAAAUUAAUCAUCUUCCGGAUGCUGUUACAAGUGUCAAAAGCUGACGGAUCAAACUUAAAAUUUUCAACACCUUAUCUCUCUCUACAAUAUAGCCUGAUAUUUUUGAUUGAUUAUCCAAAGUAGAGGAUGAUACUUGUAAUAGGGCAACACAACGAUAGAUUCAUCUCUACUUGAAGCUGAUCUUUUUCAAGUUUCUUUAGCAAUUGCCUUUGCUCCUUAAUAGAGGCUCUUUGACGAUCUAAAUCAUUGAUCUCAUAGGUAUAACUCUAAGCUCUUCUCUUAGCAGUAGCACUCUGGAUCUCUUGUUCCAACUAUUUCUCCAGCUUAUCUAUUUAAGCAUCUGCAGCAACUUCUGCUGUUCUCUGCUUGCAUGCAUUUAUCUUUCCUUCAAUAAUCUUGAAUGGAACUCUGAAGGGCCUGAUACUCAAAGUGGCACUGUGAUGGAAGAGCUUUAGAUUGCUCUAUACACUGUUUCAAGAAGCUGACAUCUUUAUCAUCUUUCAAGAACUGAACAAGAUUGUAACUGAAGAACAGUUUCUCCACAUCCACGUUACUGGACCCAUCCACCAUUGUCCACUAAGAGAAAUGAGUCUGUAUUACAAUUCUACUUAAAUGGCAGUAUAGCCAAAACGUAUAUCACUGAUUUGAUGUCUCCAUUUUCAAGCACCCAUAUGAAUCUGCUUGACGUUGCUUCUUGGCAAAGGCGGAGUCGGGAUUUCAACUAAGGGGGUUCAAUAUUUGAAGAAAACAUAGUGAAGGGGGUUCAACAACUACUAUAGAUACAUAAAAAUUAACUUUAAUCAUGUAUAAAUAAUAUAUUUUCCAUCGAAGGGGGACCAAAGAGCUAGCUCCGCCCCUGCAUCUUGAAAGGGAAUAACCUCCUCAAUUAAAAGAAGAAAUAUCUCUGAUGAUAAGAGUUAUGCUCUUUUUAAGCAAACAGCGGCAAAAUUGUAGGACGUUAUGGAAUGUUACACAAUAAAUCUUCUUUGGUAAAUCAUCAUAAAACAGAAUUUGAAAGAAUCCACAUUAAAUUACAGUCUCUUACUCUUUCUCCUAAUGGGAUUUACUUAUGAAAGAACAAGCUUCUUCAGUAAAUCAUCACAAAACAGACUAGAAAGAAUCCAUAUUAAAUCACAGUCUCUUACUCUUGCUCCUAACGAGAUUUACUUAUGGAAGAAGUAAAUGUUCAUAUGAUUCAUGCCUAGUUUGUGAAAAUGAUAAAUGUGUCCAUUUUCAAUCAACUUCUAGCACAACCUCUUUACUGAAAGGAAUCUGGUGCAUACUGUAAUGAAUACUUCUUAAUCCAACACAGAAGGAUGAAGGGUCGACUUAAUUGCCUUUUGAAAUUGUAAUAUUUCAAACCUAUAAAUGUCAAAUUUGGAAGAAACCCUUCUCCACUCUAACCAGAAGGACAUUUAAAAAUAUUCAAGCAAUUACCGGUAUUAUUCUACUAAGCUUUAACAAUUUCAGCAUCAGCUGAUUUGAAUUUUAAUGUCCCAAUAACGGAGAUCAAGAAAUACACAGAUCAGGUGAUACUUAUAUUACCUGGGCAUGUGAAUUAACGAAAUUUCAUUUUUUUAAUUUGGUUCAAUGAGCUGCCUUAUUUAGGUGGGCAAAUGAAAGUGAGAAAUCUUCAUGAACCAUAAUUUCUGCAAGAAAUGAUAAGAAAACCAUAAAUCCAGCCAAGCCGCAACUAUACUAGUAAUUCUUAAUCAAUAGAUCAAAGGUGCAGUAAUUUAGAUUGGUCUGUAAACCGAACCCCCCACCCCACCCCACCCNNNNNNNNNNNNNNNNNNNNNNNNNNNNNNNNNNNNNNNNNNNNNNNNNNNNNNNNNNNNNNNNNNNNNNNNNNNNNNNNNNNNNNNNNNNNNNNNNNNNNNNNNNNNNNNNNNNNNNNNNNNNNNNNNNNNNNNNNNNNNNNNNNNNNNNNNNNNNNNNNNNNNNNNNNNNNNNNNNNNNNNNNNNNNNNNNNNNNNNNNNNNNNNNNNNNNNNNNNNNNNNNNNNNNNNNNNNNNNNNNNNNNNNNNNNNNNNNNNNNNNNNNCCACCCUCACCCCCACCCACACCCACCCCCACACACACAAAGGAAAGAAAACCCAAAAAGAAUCUAGGAAAAGACGUACAGGUUUAAAGUGAAACCAAUUAGGUGAAUUUACUUCAGAAGCCAAGGCACAUCAAACUCAAUACAAUAACAGAGAGAAUCUCCCCUAACAUCCUGAUGUGGGAGGUAGAAGAAUUAACCAAUAUCCAUUAUACUUGUCAUAUGAUGACAAUAAAAAUACAUAGCUUAUCCUCUUCCCCAUUAUGCCACGUUUUUUGCACCAUGAGCUGACCUCAAUUUUGUAUCCUGUUUUUUUUUUUUUCUUUUCUUUAUUAAUUUUGAUAAUUAACCUUCAUGAAUUCAACAACAGUUUCAUAUCCUUUCACAAGUCACAACAAACUAAAGCUUUUCCUACUGAAGUUAUCUACCUCACAUUUAACAUCACUGAAGAAAAAAAUAUCACUGGUAUGCAUUAUCAUGUCUCCAUCUACAAACUCAUUAAUAAAAGUCACCAAUGGAUUGCUAAGUGAUAAAGGUCUUAACAACAGCUUCCAUCUAAAACUUUUAAAUAAAAGUCAAAGCACCACUGGAUGGCUAAGCAAUAUAGGUCUUAAGAACAGCUUCAAUAUGCUUCUAUUUUUUUCAUUAUGUUGAACAAAUAACUGGAACAACAGCAUGAAUAUGUUCCACGACUAUAUAUAACAGUGUACCCAGCGAGCUUACUCGUCUAACUUGGCAGAGAAAAUCACAUAUAGCAGAUGUGACUAAGGGCAAGCUAAUAACACAUAACCAGAAGAAAUACAUUACCUCCCCCUUGCACAAGACAGAGAAUACCUAGACGCACAACUAACACAGCUUCAUGACAAUUUUGUACCUGAGAGCUUUGUACUUCAGACUUAAACUUGGAAAGGCUGGCUUCUUGAACCAUCUCAGACUACAUAAGCAAAAAUGCACAAAAUAAUUAUUCAACAUAGUGGAGAUGGGCAUAUUGUUUACAACAUAAGAUCUUGUGUAAAGUCUUACUUUCUGCAUUUCAGCUCGCGAAACAAAAGAAAGAGCUACAUUUUCCAAGCUAUCAUUCAAAACUUCAGUGAUAGCAGAUGUUAUUGCUUCUGCUUGUUCUGAUGGUACACCUCGUGCUUCUAAUCUCCUAACCUGUUAGCAAACCAGAUCUCUAAAUAUAUAUAAUUCAUAUCAACAAAAACAAAUCAGGAGAGGCUCUAGCCUUGCAAAGUGUCCUAGUUUACGGCGACAUGGAUAGUAGCAAAUACACAAACUCAAAAAGAACCAUAAGUUUAGUGGCUUUUCUAUUUGUUUUUAGCUUCAUUUUGAAGGUAUUGGUUUUGAGAAUGACAGAAAAACUACUCUGACUAUGAUUAAAAGGAACAACAUCAAAUAGAUCAAGAUUCAAAUUCAAGUAAUCUUUGGUGGGAAGAUGAAGCAUUCCUCUUUCAGGAAGAAAAGACUGAAAUUAAACAAUUGAAAAGAAAAGAAAAUUUUUGAAGAAGUCACCCUGAAACUCCCCCAAUCCCACUUAAUCAUACUAGUUGUAAAAAAAGAAAAUCACCCAAUCCCACUUAUAGAAAAAGUCCGUAGUCCCAAGUCGAUCAUACCAACACUUAAUUGCUUUAUUGGGUUUGGCAAGCAUCACAUAACCCUUCGACCUGCAACAUUUCGGUAGUCCUAGGCACAAAUUCAAGGUUAAAGACCAACAUGGAAAUAAGUUAUGAGUUCAUAUGAUUAAACAAAAAUAAAACAGGUCUUUGGAGUGAAUACAAUUUUUUUUACUGGUUUUAGGUUCCCCAAGGCCAAUGCAAUUUGAUUUCAUCUUAAUUUUGUAUGUUGUAUGGCGGAGUGUUGGCUAGUCAAGAAUGCUCACAUUAAGGCCAAUGCAAUUUGAUUUCAUCUUAUUUUUAUGUGUUGUAUGGGGGAGUGUUGGCCAAUCAAGAAUUUUCACAUUCAGAGGUUGAAAGUUGCAAAAAUGAGGGCACCGAGUCUGACCUAGUGGUCAAUGAAGUGAAUUGAGAACCUGAGGUCUCAUGUUUAAAUAUGUUUAAAAUACCAGCAGAGACAAAAAAACACUAGGUGAUACUUCCCAUUUGUCCUAGCCUUGGUGGACAAAGUUACUCGAUAUCUGUUGUUGGUGGGAGGUGGCAGGUAUCUCGUGGAUUUAGUCGAGGUGUGAAAGAUGGCCUGAAUACCACGAUUAUCAAAAAAACAAGUUGCAGAAAUGAGUAUGUUAUGGAUGUAUGCACUUACUAGGAGAGAUUGGAUUAAAAAUAAGGAUAUUUGAGACAUGGUUUUUUUUUUUUGGAGGGGGGAAGAUUGAGAUGGUUUGGGUAUAUGGAGGAGAUGUCCGGAUACCCCAGAGCAGAGGUGUGGAAAAUGGCUAUGGAUGAUUUCAAGAGAGGUAGAGGUAGACUAAAGAAGUAUCAGAGGUAAUUAGACAGGACAUGAUGCAACUUACCGAGAAUAUGACUUAAAAUAGGAGAUUGUGGAGGACGAAAAUUAGAGUAGAAGGUUAGAAUGUAGCAGUAUGUUGUCUUGUUAUUCAUCUAUACUAGCAGUCGUAGUAUUGCUACAGCAGUUUUUUGUCCUUCACUCUUUGUUAUUAUUUGUUGUUGCUUGUAUUUCAACUAUUAUAUUAUUUUAUUAUAGAAAUACUAUCUAUUAUUUCUUCUAGUUCUGUUACUUCUUUUUCUGGAGUGCUUUGAAUGAUUUUUCCUUGAGCCGAGGGUUGAUCAAAAACAUCAUCUCUGUCUUUGUGAUAGGGAUAAGGUCUACAUACACUCUACACUCCUCAUAUUCCUUUGUGGGACUAUACUUGGUAUGUUGUUAUUUUCCAUCCAAACAUCUGACUUUUGGAAAUUCUUUCCUUAAACUUCUAAAAAGCAAUUGCUUAGAAAUCCAAUAUAAAAAUAUCAAUAAAAUCAGAAUCCUCUGCUGCAACACGAAAAAUGAUAAAGAAUCUAGACUUUGAAGCAAAACACAACUAACUGGAGACGAAAAGAAUAUGCAUCUACUUGCAUUCCUCCUAAAUUUAGAAAGACAAGGGAAACAAGGCUUUCUCCAUCUCCUUUAUAAACUUCAUAGUUACCAACACAACAGAUUAUCAAUAUCAAUACUCAACAUGCUUCAUCCAUAAUUAGUUGGGAUCAUUUCAUUGCAAUACAACAAAUAAUAAAUAGUCCCCAUGUCCCAUUUUAUGUGGGACCGUUCAUGUCAGAGUUAAACAAUUUACAAUUUGUUUGGAUGGUGGUUUGUCAUGGUUUCAUAAUGUUCGGCACUGUAUGGUAUUGUACUGUACAAUAUAGUACAAUACAAUAUUUGGGUGAACUGUAUUAUUCACUACUGCUUAAUAACAGUUUUAUUGUUUGGUUUGACGCUAUGGUACUAUAUCGUAACUGAUAAGUUUACUAAAAUGUCCUUAAUUAUUAUAAAUGUUAAAUUUAUCAAUCAUUGCUAAUAAAAUAAUUUUGUUCCUGCUAAUUUGUCACAAAUUAUGCCAUAUAAAUAUAUUAAGUUGUUACUUUCAUGUAAAUUUUAACAAAAUCAAUACAAAAGUAGAUCAAAAUAAAUGUAAUCGGAUUCAUUUUUUAUAGUAAUAAAUUUCAUUUCCUUUUGGUGUUUUGAAACGUGACCACCAACAACAAGUACAACGUUUGAAUGCAUUUUUUGUGUAUGCUACGAGAUGUGUUUGGUAAGGAAUACAAAAAAAAAAAUUCUAGGAAAACAAAUUAUUUCUUACUUAUUUUCUUGUGUUCGUUACGCAAAUAGAAAAUUAUUUUCUAAAAAUAUUUGUAUAUAUUUAACACAAAAAAUGAGGACAAAUAGGAUGAGGGGAUGGGGUAAGAAAAAAAUUAUGAAUUUUUUAUUAAAGAAAUAUUUGGGGAUGGGAUGGUGGAGUAGGGGAUCGAGGGUAGGGGUAGGGGUGAGAUAAGAAAAAAGUUUUGAAUUUUUUAUAAAAUAAAUUAAAAAAAUUUGAAUUUUUUAAAAAAACUUUCUAAAAAUAAAAAUAUUAUAUCGGGAGAGGGGCUAGUGAGUGUGGGAAAGGGGUAAGGGUAGGUGAGGGUGGAGUAAGAAAAAGUUUUAAAUUCAUUUUAAAAUAUAAAACUUUUAAAAAAAAUGGUAAGGGGUGAGUCAGGAUCAGGGUAGGAUAAGGAAAAAGUUUAAAACUUUCUAAAAAAAGAAAUUUAAAAAAUAAUUUUUUUGAGCGGGAUAAAGAAGGGAUUGGCUCUUGACAUGGAGGUUGGGUAGAAGGUGGAGUUAAAUAAUAUAAGGUAAAGGAUAAAAUAAAAUUAUAUAAUAUCAAAUAAGAAUAUAAUUGAAAAAAUUAAUGAGCAAAUAAAAAUACCAUC